rnacentral:sRNA from 1 species
UUCACAAGGGUGGUCGGCUAACCCCGCAGAAAGGGGGUGAGGCCUUUUGACAGUAUUUGAAUCGCUAAUGUUGAUGAUUUCAUUUACGACACUGAUUAUGGCAGUUUUAGCCUUUAAUCAUAAAAAAUAGACCUCCCUUGAGCCUUUAAACUUUAAGGGUGAGGUCUACGUCAAACUUAUUUGGCCGUCCCCUUUUAGGACGAACCUAUUGCAGAUGACCACAGGUGCUGC